GUUGCACAUUUUGGUUUUAUUAAAUAUUAUAUAUAUUGAUAUCUUUAGUGACAGCGACUUCAUAAAUAUAUAAGUUUUACUAAACAAUACACUACAGUAAAAAAAACCAGCAGAGUAGGGACAUUGAGAUAUAGCAAGAAGAAGUGAAUUUGAAUUUUACUAAACACUGCUUAACUUUGAUGAGGGAUUUUUACAUUACUAGAAAAUAUAGCUUUAUCUAUGUUACUUGUGUUUCUUUUAAAUGACAUGAAAUUUAUGUUUUCUUAAAAGCUCUAAAUAAUUUAUUUGGGAUGAUUUAUUCCUCUGACAUUUGUUUUCUUUGAUGACCAGCAGUAAAACUGUGUAAUCCAAGAUUGAAGAGCAUUAAGUGAUAAAAAUUUUGAUUAAGGAAGUACAUUACAAAUAUCUUUCAAGAUUACAAUACUUAAUUAAAUAAUUUGCAGGUCAUAAUAAGAACGUACACUAUGAUAAAAAACACAGUUAAGUGACAACAUUUUUACUUACAGCAGUUAAAAUAACUUUUUAUCAUCUGCAAUUGUACAGUUAUAGUAGGUAGUGUUUGUGACUGUGGUUAGAAAAAGGAAUUACGAUCAAGACUUUGUGGUAUUCAAAGUAAACGCUCCAAGCUUUGCAACGGUCAAUCACUAAGUUUUCAAAAUGAAAGCAAGGGCCCAAAACUACAACGGAAGAUGAUGUUACCAACUUGAUUAUAAAUGAAACAUUGAUACCUUGGAUGCUCAUUGCUGAAUAAGUAUAAUUACAAAUUGGGAGCAUUUUCAAUUAAUGUUGGCCUCUUGACCUUAUUUAUUAAGUCAAACUCAGUGAUCUUUCUUUUAUUACAUACAUGAAUAUUUGGACGAGAAAAGGUGUAAAUAAAGAUAAGUUACAAAUGCAGUCUUUUAGCUACAUAUUUCAAGGAAAAUUAAAUGUUAGCACUGAGACUAAAAAUCUAAAAAUAUCAUUUUCCAAUUUUUUUUUUUUUUUUUUUUUUUUUUUUUUUUUUUUUUUUUUAAAAAAAGAAGUUUACUCUAAUAAUUUGCAUUAAAAUCAGACCUCAUUGUACAGUUUAAAAAUUUAAGUGAAAAGAUCACCUUUCGUUAAGCAAGCUAGCAUAAGAUUUUUUGGGCUAAAAGGGGGUUUCCCAGAGAAGAUAAGAAGAUAAAGGAUGCUUUACCAUUAAAAUCACCCUUGUGAAAGGUCUUAGAAAUGUGUUUAACACAACUACAGUAAAAUUCAAUUGUACAGCAGCAAAUAUUGAAAGACAAAGUGCCCACUAAAUUAAAUAACUUGUAAACCCCUGUAUCACAUGCUAAAGGUGCAGAGGUUAUAUUGAAUCCACUAUACUUAAUAUUCCUGAGUAAAAUGUUGGGAGAAAGCUGAAACAGUUUCACAAGCCUCAUCAAUUGUUGACCAAUGAUUACAAUAACAAGUGAUGACACAAACCUGUCAAUUUCAGAUCAUAUGCAAGUAAUGCGAGUGAAAAAGUAAUUUUUCUUGGAAAUAAAUGAGAUCGGUCUCGGCAAUUUGAAUCUUUCUAUUUUCAGAAAAACUAGUUCCAACUUGAAUUAAAAUAACUACUUCAGGAUAUACAGGACAACAAUUGAUACAAAUAUUUCAGAAAAAAUACGGAUAUUUGGAUAACACAUAGAUAGAUUAGAAAUCUACAAAAUUUUAAUAUAGUUAUGAACAGAUUGAUUGAAAUAGACUAAUAAAAAAAAAAGGAAAAAAGAAAAAGAGAAAAAAAGGUAAAAGGAAAAAAUGGAAAAAAGGGAUUGAAAGCAGAAUUGGAAUGCUUAAUGUAACAAAAUAGAGCAAUGCAUUUUGAAGGCUUAAUGAGCAAAAAGAACCGCUGAUAAAAAAUAAUAUGCCUCAUUAUUUUAUCAGUUUUUAAAUAUUUACAUGCCAAAAAAACCUUAUUUGGUUGAGAAUGUAUAGACUGAAACAAAAAUAUGAUUAUUUAUACGAAUAAAUAAAUGUUUCAGACGUACAGAAAUUUGAUAAAAGUUUUCCGUAUCAUUUGUGCAUGGAGUUUCUUCAAAAUUUUUUAUGUAUGUAACUAACAUAAAAAUAGAACGCCAGUUUUUCAUCGUUUAAUUGUUUGCCCUCGUUCGGCUUUAUGACAAUUUCAUUGAAUCGUUGGUAAUAAUCGGGGUCAUUAAAAUCUUUCAUUGCUUUUUCGGGAUAUUUCCCAAAAUUUAUUUUUUAGACCCUUCGAUGUAUUCUUGAGAUUUUAAAUAUUGAAAUAGUACAGCUUUAUUUGAAUAAGGCAGUCCUUUAACUAGCUGAAUUAGAUUAAGAUUUACAUUUUCACUCAAGCAACUGUUAAGUGACUUGCUGAGACCAUGGCCACGAAACUGUGAUUGGCGUUCUUUAUUUGGCGUUGCCUUAGGGUUACAAGAUUCGCUUCCCUAGUAGCAUUAGCACGUAUUUCUUUACAAUUUUCUGAAAAUUUUGCAAGAAUUUAAUAGCGAUUUUAUUGAGAUGAGAUUUCGAUUACAUUCCAAUUAAAUCUUCUUGAAGUCACCUUUUUAUUUGAAUUUAAUAGCGAUUAAAUACUUAUUAAAUUUCAAUUAUGUUGAGAUGGUAUCCCGCCCGGCAAAAUUACGUUGUGGCAACGUUGCCAAAACGUUGCAGUAUCGCCGUUCAAUGUGGACUGCAGAGAAGUAUUUCUUAGGCACCCGAAAUUCACUCUAAGUCCGAAAGUAGCCGCGCGCUCCGCCCGGGUUCCCAAGCGGGCUCCCAUCGAAGUACUAACUACGCCCGACGUUGCUGAACUUCGGUGAUCGCCCGUGUGUCGCUGCCACUCAGCCACGGACGCUCGCUUGAGAGAAAGCGGUUAGUUAGCAUUAAUAAACAUCCCCAGAUCUGGUUCAAUGAUAGAAAGCAAUGAUAUUCUUGCAAUUCUGUGCAUAAUUCUACAACGAAGGAUACUGAAAAUAAUAUUAGGAAGAUCAAGUUUUUAAAAAAAGGAGUGUGAAAAAAAAUUAAAAAGAAUUGAAUAAAUAUAUUCAUUUUAUAUA
rnacentral:lncRNA from 1 species